UGAAAGCGCUGUUCUCAAUUUUCUCUAGCCUUUGUGUAUGGUAAUAUCUCGAUGCAACAGAUUUAAGUCUGCUACAUGGGGCAGUUGUCAGCAGUAGAUGUCUGUUUUGUCCAUUUGUUACUGCCAUAGAAAAUAGUUCAUAAGUUUGAUGCAGCAGUCUUUGUUCAGUGGACACAUUCCCCCUUACCCUAUCAGUCAGUUAUGUUGAGGGUUUACUGCAGUUGAUUUAAAAUUGUUUUAACAUUUAUGUUUACUAAGGAUAGAAAAACAAAAACUGCCAAUGGCUCUUUAAAACACGAUUAUUUAUUUUUAUAUUGGUAUGUGCUGUAUGAUGGGUAAGGCAGUGAACAGUAAUUGACUAGGUGCCCUCAGAGGUAAGACAGAUGCUAGAGCUGAAUUGCCAGUCACAUAAAUGGUCCAAACUAGAUCUCUUCAGUUUUGGGAGGUUUUAUGACAAGUGAGAAAUUCAGAGGUCUGGUUGAAAGCAUUUUAGUGAUUGGUGGUGCAGUGGCAGUUUUUUUUUUUUUUUUUACCACAUGGGCCGAGGUCAAGACUUGUACUAUUAUUACUAUUUAGCUGUCUCAUAGCUCAGUUGCUAGUGCACUCAUCUUGCACACUGAGGUCUGGUCCAACAAACUACAUAUUACAUAAAUAUCUAAGUGACAUAAUAGCUAACAAUUAUACUGCCAAACAUCCUAAAUCACAAUAACAUUAAAAAGGUAGUUUUUUUUUUUUUUAUAAUUCUAAGGUUAAGAAAAAUCUCAGGAAACUGAAAUUUUUAUUGUACUGUAGCAAUAUAUGUGAUUCUGAAACAGUGAAUAAUUUUGCAAGAUAAUGAAUAAAAUGAAUAAAAACCAAAAAUUAAAAACAGAUACUGGUAAUAUAAUAAUUCAGGAAAAUAAGCUGAGCUUAGUGAAAGAUUGAAAGUAUAUUUAUCAUCUGAUAGCAAAGCAUUGGCUCCAUAUAUUACGACCAGACAUAGCAGAUCAAUAUUACACUACAAAGCUAGUUGCCCUAAAAUGCAAGGCAUGUAAGUCUACAUGAUGUAUAAUCAGUAAGUAUUAACUUGAUACAGUUUACUAUUCUUCAAAAUAUUUAAAUAACUAUUAGAUAUUGUAUGACUAAGGCCAAUUUUUUUUUUAUAUACCUUAAUAAAAAUACAUUAGCAUUCAAUGUUGAAUGUAACAAAAUGUCAUGUGUAAGAGUAUAACAAGUUGGUAUAACAUUUUCCUGACUAUAGGAAUUAAAUUACAGGCAGUUUUGAAUGCUGCUUCAGAAGUUUUCAACACAUGAUGAUGGUUAAAAUGUCUGGGAAAACCAAGACCAUUACAGUGAUGUUCCCAAGAGGAACAAGGAGGCAAAGACAAUAUUAACAAUAAUUAUAUUUUAGUACUGUACUGUAUUCUUAUUUCAGUAUUAAAUUAUAAUUACUUUGCUGUCUUAGUAACAAAAAAAUUUAUGCCAAUAACAAAACUGCCUAAUUACCAAAUACGUAUUUGUAUAGUAAAUGUAAACAUUAUGAUAGGCAAAAGAUAAUACUUUGUUCUCUUGUAGAAAUAAAAGUUUAAACUUAUAAAAAUUAAGUACACAGUUUUUUACUUUUCUGUAGCUAGGAAAAAAAAAAAGCCAUCAACUGGUGUUCUUUGAUCUAAAAUACUAAAUAUAACUUCAAAACAGCAGACAUUUUAACAAUUUCCUUGAGUUGGAAACUCUUGAUGGUUCACAUGACUUAUUUUUUGAACAUAUUAAUGUUUGGAAUAAUAUUUUUAUACUUUCAGAUAAUAAUGUUGUUGUACAUACAAGAAUAAGAUAUGGUAUAAAUGCUGAGAAAUACAGCUGAAUGCAGAGGGGUAGUAGCCACUAUGAAUGCCCUCUCCAGUGUUAUACAGCAGAGUUGGGUCUGUAACCUGAUAUAAACUACAUACUGUACAGUAUUGUCACCGUGUGGUCAAAUAGAUGAAGCAGUCAAAUCGUUUCAUAACUAGACUAAAACAGUGUCCAUCUCUUGGAAUCAAACCCUUGACAAGCAGAGCAGCCAGAACAGCUGUCCCUUGAAGUUAUAGCUAUAGAAGUUAGAGACCAGGGAAUCCAGAUUGACAUACUUGACCUUGCAUGCCUUACCCAGUAGAAUCGGCCAACCGCCAGUCACGAACAAUCACGUUCAGUCAUUGCUUUGUUGUUCCAUGCUGAUAAAGAUAAUGUAAAGGAAGGCAAGAUACCUCUAUUUGUCAGAGAGCAUGAAUUGUUGCAUUAAAACAGAUAUAAAAAAUGAAGGAAUAAGGAUAAAGAAUUAAAGAAAAUGAAAUAAAAAAAAAAAAAAAAAAAAAAAAAAUCCUGAAAAUGCCUAAAACAAAAGAAAGCAGACUGAUGCAUGGUUUUUGCCUACA